UCUGUUGGCAAGUUUGCCGGUACCUACUCUCCGUUCGGCUAAUAAAUUUUGCAAAAAUCUGAGAAUUGACUGCUAAGGAAUAGUCGGUUACAUUGGGAUGCGGCAGAAGACGAGAUAACGAAGCCCUUGCUCUCUGGAAAGUUGCGUAGAAGGAAUUCUUGAGUUUUUAUUUGGCAUAUAGUGAUUGUUUUUUAAUCUUUUGUUAAAUUAAGGUGGACGGGUUUCUAGGCGGGAAACAAGUUAAGUAAUUAUCGAUUAUGGCUUCUUCAUUUUGGACUGCCUCAGGCUCUUGGACCUCUUCUCUAUGUAAGUCAAUACCCUCGGUGAUAUCAUUCAACCUGGGGGCUUUAAGUGUAGUCUGUACAUUGACAACUUCCAAAUUAUAAGCCAAUACAGAAUAUUAACCGCAGAGGCACAUAUAUCUAGCAGGCUACUCAAUAUCUCAAUAUUAACAUGUCCAAAACCAAACUCCCCCGUGUAGGUCAUCAAAACCUGCUCUUUUUGUACUCUUCUCCAUCUCAGUGAAUGCUAGUUCCAUCUGUCCAGUUGCUCAUACCCAAAACCUUGGAGUCAUCUUUGACUUUUCUCUUUCUGUUACACUGUGCACUGAAUUCACCAACAAACCCUUUGGCUUUAACAUCUGAAGCAUAUCUGGAUCCAGUCAGUUCACACACCACCUCCAAAGUCCCUAGUCCAAACCAUCAUCCUAUCUUGCAUUGAUUUUUGGAGUAGCUUCUUUACUAAUUACCUUGCUUCCCCUCUUUUCCACCUGUGAUUUAUUCUCACAAAGCAGCCAGCAUGACUUUUAAAACUUAAAUAUGCUUGAGACUAUCCAGGCCUUGUUAUCUCGCACUGACCUCAUCUUCAUCUCAUCUCUUUUUGUUCACUCUGCCCCAGCUCUAAACAACACUAUUUUUCUGUCUGUAUAGAUUUCCCUAUUUAGGACUUUCAUAUGAAUGGAAUCAUAUAAUAUGUGGCCUUGUCUGUCUGACUUUUUUCACUUUGCAUAAUAUUUUCAAAAUUCAUUCAAGUUGUAGCAUUUUUUUUCUUUUCCUGGCCAAAUAAUAUUAUAUGGCUAUACCACAUAUGGUUUACCCAUUCAUCCGCUAAUGGACAUUUGGGUUGUUCUCUCUUUUGGCUACUAUGGAUAAUGCUGCUGUAAACAUCUGUGUACAGAUUUUUGUGUGGACAUACGUUUUCAGUUUUCAUGGCUAUAUAUCCAAAGAUGGAAUUGGUGGGAUAUAUGGCAACUAUGUUUAAUCACCUGAGGAACUGCCAGACUGUAUUAUCAUUUUACAAGAUGUUAACACUGGGGGAAAUUGCAUAAAGGAUAUGCAGGAUCUUACAAGUGCCUGUGAAUCUACUAUCUCAGAAUUGUUUUGGUUAAAAAAAUGAUUCCUAGACUUUGGGCAUAAGAAACUGGGUUCCCACUGGUGACUCGUAGAUGAAGGGAGAAUGAUAAAGGAAUAGGUAUGGGUGCUAAAGUCAGGAAUUCUGUUUCAGACAGAAUAAGAUCCCUAUUAGAUAUCCAAGUGGUGAUGUGUAGUAUACAAAUUGAGAUACUAUUCUUGAUCAGUUGAUAUAGUUGUUACCACUUACCAUGCAUGUAACCUUGUACAGUAGACCCUCCCCCCUUACCCAUAGCAGGUACGUUCCAAGACCCCUACUGGAUGCUCGAAACCAUGGACAGUACAAAACCUUAUAUAUAUUAUGCUUUUGCCCAUACAUACAUACUUACAUGAUAAAAUUUAAAUUAUAAAUUAGUUACAAAGUUUCCUGGAAGCCCAGAAAGUAAAGUUGUAAUAGAAUAUAGACAGGAAAAGAGGAAGUUAAAGAAAUAGCAGCCAAGGCUUCCAGCAGAAGUGAGCUGGAGCAGAAGAAGAAAGCAAGCAGGUACAGUAUGGAAACUUGCCAAAAAAGGAACAGAGGACAUUUUCGAGAAGGAGAGAAAAAUAAGAUGCAAUUCAGUUUGAUUAACAUUUUGAAAUUUUACCAUAUGGAAGGUAUUAAUGGGAAUAUAUAAUCAGUAAAGCUAUAUAGGAGCUUUCAAACUAAUAGGUGGCAAUUAUUUAUUCAUUCUGUAUAAAUCAAAUACAAUGUUCUAGGCCCUGGGAAUAUAAAAACAGACUACCCUCUCUAAAGAAGUUUAUAUUCAAGGGGGAGGAGAUAGAUACAAACAGAUAAAUACAUACUUUGUCCAGUGAUGAUGAAUACUACGAAGAACAAUAUGCAAGGCAGAAGUUAGACAAUUGUGGAGAAAGACUUCCGCUUUAUAUAAUGUGAUUAGGGAAGGCCUCUCUGGUAAAGUAGAAUGUGAAAAGAAACCUGGAGAGAGUAGGGAACCUGUGGCUCUCUAGAGGAGAAAAAUUCCAGGUAAAGGAAUAUUAAAUAUAAAAGUACUGAAGCAAAACUGAAUGCAUAUAUAUAUAUAGAGAAACCAGUUAAGAGACUAUUGAAAUAAUUCAAGCACGAGAUGAUGGUGGCUUAGACAAGAGUGAUAACAUUGAAAAAGUUGUGCACAGUAACAAAAUUCUGAAUAUAUUUUAAAUGCAGAGCUAUCAGUCAAAUAAAUAAAUAAAAUCUUUAAAUGCAGAACUAUCAAAAUUUGCUAAUGGAUUAGAUGAGAAAAAGCAGGGUCAAAGAUGACACCAAGGUGUAGAAGAACUGAGAGGCCAUUUACUAAAAUGAGGAAGGGUGUGAUAGAUGCAUGUUUUAGAGGAGAGAAGUCAAGAGUUUAGUUUUGGACAUACUAUGUUUUGGAUACCUAUUAGACAUCUAAAUACAACUGAUUAGGCAGUGGUGUAUAGGAAUCAGGAAUUUAGGAGAUAGGUAAAAGCUGGAGACAGAAAACUAGAUCUUGUUAACCUAUUGGUGAAAUUUAUAAACUUGUGACUGGACAAGAUCAGAGUAUGAGAGUGUUUGGAAGGAAGGCUAAAUCUUAGGCACUUCAAUUUAUAAAGGUUGGGACAACUUAAAUCAAGUAAAAAAGCUAGAGAAGGAUGGGCCAGCAGGUGGUGGAGAGAAGAGGAGAAGCAAGAAAAUGGUAUCCCAGGCCCCAAAGGAAGAGAGUGGUUCAAGCAGCAAAGAGCAAAGAACUAUGUCAAUCGAUGCUGUUGGUUCAAGAGGACAACUGAGUAUUGUCCUUUGGCUUUCAAAAAUAUGCAAGUUAUUGUUGAUCUUGAUAAAAGCAGUUUCAGUGAGUAGCAGAUGAAAGCUUACUUUGUGCAAGCUCAAAAGAUGGGAGAAAAAGUGAAACAACAUAUAUAAACAUAUCCUUUGAGGAAUUUUACUAGAAAGGAAGGCAGUGAAAUAGAGCUAUAGAUGCGCAAUCUAAGGAGGGUGUUUUAAAAGUUGUAUGUAUACUGAUUGAAAUGAUAUAAUAGUUCUGUAUAUAACCGUAACGGAAGGAUAGAGUAUUAGCAGAAACUGUAGGGAAUAUGAAAAGAUCAUGGAUCCCAAUCAGGCUGAUCCCAGAGACUGAUUCUCAAUGGGAGUAGAAAGAAUGGAGAAAUCUUGGUGGGUUGGAUAUCUUUUGUAUUUGGACUGCUGACUUUUUACAACAGCUAUGGAAGAGAGCCUUGCAGGUGAUUGAGGAACAAUUUGAACAUUGUAUGUAGAGAUACAAAAACAGGAAAAUGGCAGAAAUAUUUGAGAAAGACAGCUUGGGAAGGUAGCUGAAGAUUGAAGACUAGGGGAGGAUAUGCCAGAAAAUAAGACCAGGGGUCAAAUAGUAGAAAGCUUAUAUGAGGAAUCUGAAAUUUAUCUGAGGUCAUGAGGAAGCUUAAAGUAUUUUUGAGUAUGAAAAUGAAUAAUUCUAUGUUUCAGGAAGAUAAUUCUGACAGUUUGUGGACCAUGGAUUAGAUAGUGAAAUACAGCCAGACUGUAGAAGGUCUUCAAAACCAGACUGGGAAACUUGGAUUUGAUCAGAUAGGAAAUGGGAGCCACUCAUUAAGUUUUUAAAUUAAAAAAAAAAAAAGGUUAAAAAAAAAUGAAG